UUUUUUUUUUUUUUUGGUCUUUUGUCUUUUUAGAGCUGCACCCGUGGCAUGUGGAGGUUCCCAGGCUAGGGGUCUGAUCAGAGCUAUAGCUUCUGGCCUAUGCCAGAGCCAUAGCAAUGCCAGAUCCGAGCCACGACUGCGACCUACACCACAGCUCACGGCAACGCCGGAUCCCCAACCCACUGCGCGAGGCCAGGGAUCGAACCCGCAACCUCACGGUUCCUAGUCAGAUUCGUUUCCGCUGCGCCACGACGGGAACUCCUGAAAUGGCAUUUCUACAAGAGACACCGAGGCUUGAGAAAUCUGAGUUUUGCUUUUUCUUGAACAGCAGGAGGAGAAAAAUAAGAAAGUGAGACGGCUCCUUCCUGAAAGGGCGACAGCUCAGGCGUCGGUGUUUGUAACGACCACGGGUGACAAGAAACUAGAGUUCAUGGUUCAGGCAAAUCUUCACAAACUGCCCGCCCCUCUCAGCGACUGGGCUGGGGAGGAAGCCCAGCUCCUUCUCGGCUGCUCAGAACCCCUUGCGCCGCCCAGCGGGCAGCGUGGCCUGUGGCCUCGUUCACUCGGGGACAGACAUCUGCUGACGCUGCACGUGACCCGUGCAUGUGACCCGCGGGGCUGGGGCUGCCCGCCUGAGGCUCAGGGGAGCGGGACGUGCAGACAGCAGCGCGGAGGGCGCGGCUCACGAAGAACACCGGCCCAAGCUGACAGCCCAGUGGGUCGGCUCUGGGCCACAGUCUCGGGGCGGCAAGGGACAUCCACUCCUUUCCUUCUGAGCGUAGUUAAACCUGACUUUCGCCCCUUCCCCCUGAACCGAGGGGGACUGGCCUUGGCUCUCACUGGCCUCCGUCACCUGCAAGGACCGGAGGCCGAAGGCUCGGGUGUUGCUGGGAGAACGUUAGAAGACCUGUGGCCACGACGUCCUGGUGGCCUGGGCAUGUGGUCUGGCCAUGCAGGGCCGGAGCCCCGCCGCCCCAGGUCCACGGAGGGCAGGAGGUUCGAGCUGUCCCGUCCUGUGGGCGGGGUCCAGUCCCAGGUCAGAGCAGGCCCUGGGGAUAUGUUGGCAGCUGUCCCCCCACACAGGCGAUCCCAGCCCAGCCUCUGCCAACGUGUGCCUGAGCCCAGGGGUGCCUGGGCCUGCGGACCAAACAGCAGGGUGGCCCCUCCAGAAGGUUCUCCUGUGCGGGGGCCAGGGCCCGGGGUGGGGGCGGGGUGGUGGAUGUCCGCGAGGUCCCAGAGUGAGGACCGCCGCUGGGCAGUGCCGCCAGGAGGAUGCGCAGCCGGGGGGAGGGAGACCCGGGCCAGGACGCGGGGAUGGGAGGCCGAGCCCGGGCAGAUGGGGGCGGACAGGCAGGGCCCCGAGGGUCCGCCAGAUGGAGCUGACGGGGGCCACGAGUCACUGGAGGGCCAGCAGCUGCGGCCCUGACUCCGGUCACGUGACUUGGAAGAGGACGAUGUGAGCUGUGUCCACUCCUGACUCCCCUUGGAGGUCAGUGAUCUCAGCUGGGGUGGCCUCUGCCCGGGGUGCAGGGCGAGGCUGGGAGAGCAGCCUGAUGGGGAGGGUUGGGGACGGUCCCAGGGAACUGGUCCUGCCUCAGGGAGCUCUUCCUCCCACCAGCAAGACCCUGGCGGGGCUCCUGCCCCCGCGAUGGCACCGGUCAUGCUGGGAGACGGGGAUGGGCCCAGGUGGCGCCUGGCCCACCCUCACGUAAAGGGCCUGGCCCUGGGACUGAGCCCCGCACGAGGGCCGGCAGACCCAGCCGCCCUGCUGGGCUGAGACCCCGCCUCACUUGCAGUGAUGGGGGGUCCACACACGGUGGCAUGGGGCCUGUGGUCCGUGCGCACUGUCCAGGCCUCUAGAACGUUCGGCACAGAGCCAGUGGGCCUUGCUAUGUUGCUCAGCUCUUCUCUGAGCUGUUCCGAAUCAGCCCACGU
ensembl:lncRNA